AUUGAACGCUGGCGGCAGGCUUAACACAUGCAAGUCGAGCGGAGCGAGGGUGCUUGCACCUUAGCUUAGCGGCGGACGGGUGAGUAAUGCUUAGGAAUCUGCCUAUUAGUGGGGGACAACAUUCCGAAAGGGAUGCUAAUACCGCAUACGCCCUACGAGGGAAAGCAGGGGAUCUUCGGACCUUGCGCUGAUAGAUGAGCCUAAGUCGGAUUAGCUAGUUGGUGGGGUAAAGGCCUACCAAGGCGACGAUCUGUAGCGGGUCUGAGAGGAUGAUCCGCCACACUGGGACUGAGACACGGCCCAGACUCCUACGGGAGGCAGCAGUGGGGAAUAUUGGACAAUGGGCGGAAGCCUGAUCCAGCCAUGCCGCGUGUGUGAAGAAGGCCUUUUGGUUGUAAAGCACUUUAAGCGAGGAGGAGGCUACUAGUAUUAAUACUACUGGAUAGUGGACGUUACUCGCAGAAUAAGCACCGGCUAACUCUGUGCCAGCCGCCGCCGUAAUAC
rnacentral:rRNA from 1 species